AUUGCACGCUGGCGGCAGGCCUAACACAUGCAAGUCGAGCGCGCGGCGGACGGGUGAGUAAUGUAUGGGGACUGCCCGAUAGAGGGGGAUAACUACUGGAAACGGUAGCUAAUACCGCCUAAUAUCGGCUAACCCCUAUGGGAUUAGCUAGUAGGUGAGGUAAUGGCUCACCGAGGCGACGCUCCCUAGCUGGUCUGAGCGGAUGAUCAGCCACACGGGGACUGAGACACGGCCCAGACCCCGACGGAGGCAGCAGUGGGGAAUAUUGCACAAUGGGCGCAAGCCUGAUGCAGCCAUGCCGCGUGUAUUAAGAAGGCCCUAGGGUUGUAAAGUACUUUCAGUCGGGAGGCGUUACCGACAGAAGAAGCACCGGCUAACGCCGUGCCAGCAGCCGCGGUAAUUC
rnacentral:rRNA from 1 species